rnacentral:rRNA from 1 species
UACAGAGGGUGCAAGCGUUAAUCGGAAUUACUGGGCGUAAAGCGCGCGUAGGUGGUUCAGCAAGUUGGAUGUGAAAGCCCUGGGCUCAACCUGGGAACUGCAUCCAAAACUACUGAGCUAGAGUACGGUAGAGGGUAGUGGAAUUUCCUGUGUAGCGGUGAAAUGCGUAGAGAUCCGGAGGAACACCAGAGGCGAAGGCGGCGCGCUGGGCUGCACCUGACGCUGAACCACGAAAGCCAGGGUAGCGAACGGG